rnacentral:rRNA from 1 species
GACAGAGGGUGCAAACGUUGUUCGGAAUUACUGGGCGUAAAGCGCGUGUAGGCGGCUGCGCAAGUCGGAUGUGAAAUCCCAUGGCUCAACCAUGGAAGUGCACCCGAAACUGCGUAGCUAGAGUCUCGGAGAGGAAGGCGGAAUGCUUGGUGUAGAGGUGAAAUUCGUAGAUAUUGGGAAGAACACCGGUGGCGAAGGCGGCUAUCUGGACCGACAUUGACGCUGAGGCGCGAAAGCGUGGGGAGCAAACAGG